AUUGAACGCUGGCGGCAUGCUUUACACAUGCAAGUCGAACGGUAACAGGCCGCAAGGUGCUGACGAGUGGCGAACGGGUGAGUAAUGCAUCGGAACGUGCCCAGUCGUGGGGGAUAACGCAGCGAAAGCUGCGCUAAUACCGCAUACGAUCUAUGGAUGAAAGCGGGGGACCGUAAGGCCUCGCGCGAUUGGAGCGGCCGAUGUCAGAUUAGGUAGUUGGUGGGGUAAAGGCUCACCAAGCCAACGACCUGUAGCUGGUCUGAGAGGACGACCAGCCACACUGGGACUGAGACACGGCCCAGACUCCUACGGGAGGCAGCAGUGGGGAAUUUUGGACAAUGGGCGCAAGCCUGAUCCAGCAAUGCCGCGUGCAGGAUGAAGGUUUUCGGAUUGUAAACUCCUGUUAAGUGUGAAAAAAGAUUCGCUUUUAAUAGAAGCGAAGGAUGAUGGUAACACUAGAGAAAGCACCGGCUAACUUCGUGCCAGCAGCCGCGGUAAGAC
rnacentral:rRNA from 1 species